rnacentral:rRNA from 1 species
GAUGAACGCUGGCGGCGUGCUUAACACAUGCAAGUCGAACGGGAAACAUUUUAUUGAAGCUUCGGCAGAUUUAGUUUGUUUCUAGUGGCGGACGGGUGAGUAACGCGUGGGUAACCUGCCUCAUACAGGGGGGAUAACAGUUAGAAAUGACUGCUAAUACCGCAUAAGCACACGUGAUCGCAUGAUCGAGUGUGAAAAACUCCGGUGGUAUGAGAUGGACCCGCGUCUGAUUAGCUAGUUGGUGGGGUAAUGGCCCACCAAGGCGACGAUCAGUAGCCGGCCUGAGAGGGUGAACGGGCCACAUUGGGACUGAGACACGGCCCAAACUCCUACGGGAGCAGCAGUGGGAAUAUGCACAAUGGGGGAAACCCUGAUGCAGCGACGCCGCGU